rnacentral:lncRNA from 1 species
AUCUCUAAUCCCCAAUCAGUCAAACGAACCAAACAGAUACCAGUGGAGGAGAUAGAAAACUUCAUCUGGUAAGGAUAGAUAGGGGAGAGCAGAGAUAGCCUCCUCCCGCAGCCACACAAUCCUCUAAACUCCGAUGGCAGCAACGAUGUACGCGGCGUCAGCUUCUUCCGCUUCCCUUCUUCUCCCCGGCGUCUCCGCCGUAAGAACCUCCUCGCGCUGCUCUUCCAUGCCUUUGCUUCCACCUCGCUCCUCUUUCUCCUCCUCUCGUUCCUCCCUUGCUUCCGUCAAACCGCUCUCAGGUUCUUCGUCUACUCUCGCUUACCGUAAUCAUCCUUGUUUAACUCCUACCUUAAUUUGUAAUCCGACUGCCACGUAGAUGUUUGACUUGCAAAAAUAGUUGCGAGACUUCUUUUCCGAAGUCCAUUGAGAUUUCAAUCAGGAAACAAUGUGUCAAAUGUCCGUGUGUCCAUUGAAUUUGACAAGUUGUUCUAUGUUGUUUACCUUCUCUGUGUGAUUCCUUAGUCCUUUGGAAGCUGUUCAAUAUAAUUCUGCUGGUUGGGAAACGGAAUUGUCCAUAGGCUAAGCAAAGAGUUCAUAGAAAUCAAGGCCAUGAGGAAGGCUAAAUAGAUGCAUGGGUUUCCAUCUUGAUUUUUCCCUGGCCAUCAAAAGGGAUGUUCUAUUGCUUUGCUCAGGCUUGUUGUAUUUCUU